UUAGGGUCGUUGUCCUGUUGGAAGAUGAACCUUCGCCCCAGUCUGAGGUCCAGAGUGCUCUGGAGCAGGUUUUCAUCAAGGAUGUCUCUGUACAUUGCUGCAUUCAUCUUUCCCUCGAUCCUGACUAGUCUUCCAGUUCCUGCCGCUGAAAAACAUCCCCUCAGCAUGAUGCUGCCACCACCAUGCUUCACUGUAGGGAUGGUAUUGGCCAGGUGAUGAGCGGUGCCUGGUUUCCUCCAGACAUGACGCUUGCCAUUCAAGCCAAAGAGUUCAAUCUUUGUUUCUCAUGGUCUGAGAGUCCUUCAGGUGCCUUUUGGCAAACUCCAGGCGGGCUGUAAUGUGCCUUUUACUGAGGAGUGGCUUCCGUCUGGCCACUCUACCAUACAGGCCUGAUUGGUGGAGUGCUGCAGAGAUGGUUGUUCUUCUGGAAGGUUCUCCUCUCUCCACAGAGAAACGCUGGAGCUCUGUCAGAGUGACCAUCGGGUUCUU